rnacentral:rRNA from 1 species
CUACGGGAUGCACCAGUGGGGAAUAUUGCACAAUGGGCGCAAGCCUGAUGCAGCCAUGCCGCGUGUAUGAAGAAGGCCUUCGGGUUGUAAAGUACUUUCAGCGGGGAGGAAGGGAGUAAAGUUAAUACCUUUGCUCAUUGACGUUACCCGCAGAAGAAGCACCGGCUAACUCCGUGCCAGCAGCCGCGGUAAUACGGAGGGUGCAAGCGUUUAUCGGAAUUACUGGGCGUAAAGCGCACGCAGGCGGUUUGUUAAGUCAGAUGUGAAAUCCCCGGGCUCAACCUGGGAACUGCAUCUGAUACUGGGAAGCUUGAGUCUCGUAGAGGGGGGUAGAAUUCCAGGUGUAGCGGUGAAAUGCGUAGAGAUCUGGAGGAAUACCGGUGGCGAAGGCGGCCCCCUGGACGAAGACUGACGCUCAGGUGCGAAAGCGUGGGGAGCAAACAGGAUUAGAUACCCCCGUAGUC